rfam:Angiostrongylus costaricensis strain Costa Rica genome assembly, scaffold: ACOC_scaffold0000079
CCAACGGCCCUCAUUAGGGCCACAACUGGCGAGAUGUAAAUGAAUU